UCGCAUGACAAGGUGACAGCGUGAAGCUGUGAACAGCCGAAGAAGAGCUAUGGAGACGGAGCCCGGUACAGCUGAAAAGAGCAGCCGAGGAGAGCUGCCGAAGAUCCGGAUCGAUUGAAAAGACACCUCGCUAAGGAGGAGAUCAAGGACCACAAUGGUUGCUGGCACGAAACGUGAAACCUGUGUUAUCUUCCUGACAAUGAUUGUUGCAGCUGCUGUGUUUUGGAUGCCUGCACAAAGACUAACAGGUGGAGUACUUUAGCCAACAUGACUGACCAGGACUCCAUAUGCCUAGCUAUGGCAUCUCCCGAAAACCCGUUCCACACAUGCUUGGUUGGCAUCCCCCUUGACUACAGCAGCAUCACACAACUGUUUCAAAAUAGUGGUCGGUGCAAAGGCAUUGCAUCAAACUGUAAUAAUACUAACAUGGCACUUUGGAUUAAUUGCCUCCUGGAAAAAGACAUUGAACCACAGGAAAUGGAAUUGCUGGGAUCUGUGCCCAUGGAUGCUUGUAUCCAGCCGGUUUGUGAAAAGUGUCAGAACAGUAUACAAGAACAUGAAUGGAUAAAAACUGCAAAAUGUUAAUGCUACCCUUGGUGACUAUAGAAAUGAAACUCGUUGGUGCAAUGCCUUGCAGAAGAAUCCAAGGAGUGUUGUUAACAAUGUGGGACAGCGACCCCAAAAACUCCUGUAUGGUGUAUUCUUGAUCUGUGGAGAUAGAGCCUGACCAGGAAUUCCUUCUAAUGCUGUUGGAGGACUGUGUAUUUUGGGACUAUUAACUCUCUUAAUGCCCAAUGUAUCUAUGAUAAUAGAUCACAGAAGAGCAAGACGAGAAAAACACUUUUUGCGUGUAUAUGAGUCAAAAUGUGAUGAUAAUGUAGAUUUUUGGGGAUCAAGGUUAAGGGUUUUAGGAUCUCUUGUAUCUGGUGUUGGCACAGCUAAAAGCUUUAAAUAUUUUAGAAAAUUAGGAUGCUGGCUAGUUGAGCAAACUAACAGAACUUAAAAGGCUUUAAGUGGACUUUUGCUAGAUGUAGAUUCUGUAAGACAUGCUACAUUGCAGAAUAGAGCUGCAAUAGAUUUUUUGUUAUUAGCUCAAGGGCACAGGUGUGAAGAUUUUGAUGGUAUGUGCUGUAUGAACUUGUCAGAUAAUUCUGAGUCAAUUCAUAAAAGCAUACAAUUGUUGAAAGAAGGAGUUCAAAGGUUACAAGUUGAUGAUGGAUGGGAUUGGUUAAAUAAAUCGUUUAGUAGCUGGGGGCUUUCAGGAUGGUUGUUAUCACUAGUGAAAACAGGACUGAUCAUUUUGAUGAUUGUUCUGGUUGUGUUACUAAUGUUGCCAUGCAUGAUUUCUCUGCUGCAAAGGGCCCUGCAGUGGACAAUGAGGGCAGCAUUUUUAGCACAAAUACAAAAAGGGGGAAUUGUGGGAAACUGCAGCGGGUCUGUGGAAUCCUUGACAGAAAAUAUGGGAGUAGAGAUCAGCCUUGAGAUAUUAAGAUUUACCCUUGAGAAGGAUGGGAGUAAAGGAGUAUCUGGAGAGAGGAGAGAUAUACCCGUGAGAGAGAAGGGGAUAGAAGAAUAACAUGGAUGAUAGAAAAAUUAACCAAUGAGAUGUUAGUGCUGUAACUUGUAACCAAUAGUGAAAAGACACAUGAACUGGUAGAAUUGUAUAAAAAUGCACUUGUAGCAAUAAAUGGCGUCUACUACUUUCAUCUUGAAA